GUCAGCAAAUAUCACAAAUCUAAAGCAACUGAAAUUCACUUCAGCUGAUCAGUUAAGAGUUCCUGUCAUCGGACUUCCUUCCAUGCUCAAAUACACAAUAGAGCAACUACAAUUUAUAAUUAAACAUUUAAAACUACUGAAAUAUAAUGGAGAAUACUCGCAUCAACUGAUCAGUUGAAGAGUUGCUGCCACAUCAUCAUCAUCGGGCUUCCCUCGUUCCAGAGGCACAUGCCAAUAGAGCCACUGGCUAUAUUGUGAUGGCAGCAGGUCGACUUAUGUACCUACGCUGGAUCAGACACGACACAAAUCCUUGAACAAAGGACAACCUGGCAAAAAAAAAAAGAGAGAGAGAAGAGACGAACAUGCUUUUGCCUUUGGACAGGUGAUGAACAUCUUUGUGUUCGUCGAAUGCCACACAGAACUGAAGUCAGCAAUAGAACCUGUGCCUAGGCAAACGUUGGAUAAGAUGCCUAUCGCUAUUUCAAUUCCUAUUAUUCGCAAAAAAAAAAGAAGAAAUACAAAGCCAAAAAACAAUAGAGAUGUGCACACAAAAGCGGGUAGCUAAAGCAGCUGACAAAUCUGAAGAGAUGAAGAUGCUAUUAGAAUGCCAGCCAGCUGCUGACUCAGGACUCAGGCAGGCUGAGGAUUUUGGCAAGGUGCUUGCGUCAUACACCGGACUAGCAACAGAAGCAAGCUGCGCUCCACUUGGAUAGAUUGAUAUCGAAUAGUUUGAUAGCGACUUUUACUCACAUGAGGCAACUAAAUGUUGCAUUUCUUUCUCAUCUUACGAUUCCUGCACGAUUUAUUACAACUAUUGACGUUUGAUGUUUCUCCUUUAAUGUUGAUUUGUGUAUU